UACGUAGGGUGCGAGCGUUGUCCGGAAUUACUGGGCGUAAAGAGCUCAUAGGUGGUUUGUCGCGUUGUUCGUGAAAACUCACAGCUCAACUGUGGGCGUGCGGGCGAUACGGGCAGACUGGAGUACUGCAGGGGAGACUGGAAUUCCUGGUGUAGCGGUGGAAUGCGCAGAUAUCAGGAGGAACACCGGUGGCGAAGGCGGGUCUCUGGGCAGUAACUGACGCUGAGGAGCGAAAGCGUGGGGAGCGAACAGG
rnacentral:rRNA from 1 species